rnacentral:rRNA from 1 species
CGCUAGCGGCAUGGCUGGAUAGCUAACUACGGAAAGGAUAAACGCUGAAAGCAUCUAAGCGUGAAGCCCUCUCCAAGAUAAGGUUUCGCAUGAGUCCCCUAGAAGACGACUAGGUUGAUAGGCCAGAUGUGUAAGCUCAGCAAUGAGUUCAGCUUACUGGUACUAACGGACAAUAGACUUGACCACUU